AUGGAUGAGGAUUUUCUGGCGUGGCAUAUGGAGAAGGACGGCCGGUUCUCGGUUAGAAGUGCAUACCACCUUGCGGUCACAGAGGUUAUCCAGAAUCAGGGGGGUGUCUCGUCUAGUACGAGACCAGAGGGAGACCGACCAGUCUGGAGGAUGUUUUGGAAAAUCCCGGUACCACAGAAAUUGAAGAUUUGUGCAUGGAAAUUAUUGAAGGAUGGGUUACCCACACGACAAGUGAUGAAGUCUAAACAUUUGGGAGUGCCGGAUGAAUGUCCCAGGUGCUGUCGAGGAAUAGAAGACAGCUUUCAUGCUGUUGUGGCGUGCCCUACCUCCAGCACUGUUUGGGAUGCUAUGGGGGAAGUCUGGAACAUCCCAGCAAAGGAGGUGAUUAGAAACACAGGCCAUGAAUGGCUCUUUGAUCUGCUAGUUACCCUUCAGGAGGAGGACCGGGCAAAAAUCUUGAUGAUCAUAUGGAGGAACUGGCAAUUGCGCAAUGAUGCCCUGCAUGACAAGAAUGUAGCGCCGGUUGAGGCCACAAGAGGGUUCUUGCAGAGCUAUAUGGCAUCUCUGAACCAAAUAAGAUUUGACAUGGGUUAUGAGAAGGGGGUAGCUGGACCUGAUGGUUUGGUGGCUCGGCCGCAACGUGCGGCAAGAGAGCAGGAGUCGAUCCCAUGGCCACCUCCACCAGAGGGGUGGCUUGCUGUGUCGCUGGAUGGCUCAUUUGAUGCGAAUACUCAUACGGCUGGUGCUGCAAUGGUAGCCAGGAAUAGUAGGGGUGAACACAUAUUUUCGGCAUGCUGGUUUAUACAACACUGCUCAAGUGCUCUGGAAGCUGAAUGUGUGGCAGCUCGGGAGGGCAUCAGUGCGGCACUGCAGCUUACAACUUUGCCACUGAUUGUUCAAACCGACUGUGCUUCUUUGGUAAAAGCUGUGGAAAGUCCAGAGACAGACAAAUCAAUUGUAGGUCACCUUGUAAUGGAGAUUAAGGAGUUGGUGAGAGAAAGGGAGCUUGUGGUACGUCUUGUUGGUCGUUUGCAGAAUAGAACUGCAGAUCGCCUUGCCUAUAUGUCGAGAGAGGAGCACAGCACCGAUUUGUGGCUGCAGGUGCCUCCAGCUGCUCUUGAAGGGCCAUUGAGCUACAACAACGACGAGCAAGCCGACAUGAUUUAUUGUGAGAGAAUAGGCACGGCACAACAACUAGUUUGA
rnacentral:rRNA from 1 species